GAGCCAAACUGAAGAGAUAAUUGGUUAAGGACUGGAUGAUUAACUAAUUAACAAGGUGAUUCAUUGCUUCAGCUGAGGAUAAGACAGACAGGCUGAAGGAGGGGAAGGACAGAAGGAAAGGCCAGAGAAGCCCAGAACCUCAGGGAAGAUACCUUUCCUACUGUGCCUAGGGAGAAGGGAACACGUCACUGGACUAGACUACAAGGCUCUCCUCCCCAAUCUCCACCACUGCUGUGUGCUUACGUCGUUAAUGGAAGGGGAAGCACAGCCAUCUCUAUGAGGAACUUAUUUCUCCUGGAGCUCCACCUCCUCCUAUCUCCUCGCUAGCUGAAGAAAGGAGGACUCACGAUGCAAAAGAAUCUGAAGAGGGAGCUAGUGCUGGCACCUGGCUGUGCUGGUGCUGCCAGCCUUUCUUACCUGUGGAUGGAGGAGCAAGAGUUCUUGCUUAAUGGAAAAAGAAGAGGUGUCCCAGCUGGGAGUCUCCUAGCCACCUUUUCAUCCCCCACUUCUGCUGCCUCCCCACCCCUGCCAAUGGGAGAGGGGACAGAAACCUCCCACCCAUCCCUGCCCCUCCAAACCAAAUGAUACAUGCAUUUUGCAUAAAAUCUCUCUUUUGAAAUGUCUUUACAUCUUCUUGAGUGCAGGAAAUUGUUUGGGGCACUUCAGAAAUUUCCACAGAAGUUCAUGGAUCCACAGAAGAUGCCCCUUUGUGUGUAUUUUCACAUCGGUUCAAGUUCUCCGUUCUGGGAGAAAAGGAGGUGGGAAGGGCCAGGGCUGAGCUACUGUGUGCACACAAUUGUUUUCCUACUUAUAGGCACUUUUAUGGCUAUGACCUCACUUCUGGUGCAUUGCUUCUCAUCCCUCAUUCUCUUCCACAUGCUGUGCCCCGUCCCCACAAGAUGAUGUAAUGCUGCAUUAGCACAUGUCAAAACCUAUGACAACAGCCAACAAAGUUGGUAACCUGUCCUGAGCUACUUCAGUCCCUGGCUGCCUACAAGAAAUUAGCCAGCUAAUAAUGACUGAUUGUCAGAGGCAAAACAAAAACAACCCCUGGCUGCCCUCCUCUCCCAGUGUUAUUCAGUGAUUCAGUACCAUCCCGUUGCGCAUGUUCUUAGCAAAUGUAGCCACAUAAGUUUGUUCCUGUUAAAUCUGUCCUCCUUUCUCCUCCUUUGGCUCACUCGUUUAAUUUUAUCUUCAAUUAGAUAAUGAGAUCUUUGGGGUGGGAGUCGUAUUUUACUUUGUAUUUGUACAACACUUAACGCAAUGGGGCCUCGAUCCCAGUAUAGGGCUGUUGGGAAAUGUCACAAUUCUAAAUAGUAGUCAUUAAUAAUAAUUCAGUGGCCAUUAAUAUCCCAAAUCAUUGCUUAAACUAAAAGGGUGGGGCAUGGCUUUUGGCCCAAACUGUGGGCUGUUGCAGAAUGAUUCAUUACUUUAUUUUGGCAAAUGUAUUUUCAUCUGUUAACUGAACUCUGAUUUCGAGCACUCUGUGUGGUUCUCACGGCUGAGGGAAUUUCCUUCCCUUUAUCUGCUUGUUUUCUUCCAAUCUGGGUUAAAAUCAAUACACUUAAAUAAAACAAUUGGGCUGUGUGUACCUCCUGCUGUGUUGUGGCAGGAAUUGAAGAUGAGGGACCAAAGAUUAGUUAAGUCAUUUUCUUCUAAAGUAAAUUUACUGUUGACAACCA